rnacentral:rRNA from 1 species
UACGUAGGGUGCGAGCGUUGUCCGGAAUUAUUGGGCGUAAAGAGCUCGUAGGCGGUUUGUCGCGUCUGCUGUGAAAACCUAAGGCUCAACCUUGGGCUUGCAGUGGGUACGGGCAGACGUAGAGUGCGGUAGGGGUGACUGGAAUUCCUGGUGUAGCGGUGGAAUGCGCAGAUAGUCAGGAGGAACACCGGUGGCGAAGGCGGGUCUCUGGGCCGUAACUGACGCUGGAGGAGCGAAAAGCAUGGGGAGCGAACAGG